rnacentral:rRNA from 1 species
GACGAACGCUGGCGGCGUGCUUAACACAUGCAAGUCGAACGGAAAGGCCCUGCUUUUGUGGGGUGCUCGAUUGGCGAACGGGUGAGUAACACGUGAGUAACCUGCCCUUGACUUUGGGGUAACUUCAGGAAACUGGGGCUAAUACCGGAUAGGAGCUCCUGCUGCGUGGUGGGGGUAGGAAAGUUUCGGCGGUGGGGGAUGGACUCGCGGCUUAUCAGCUUGUUGGUGGGGUAGGGGCUUACCAGGGCUUUGACGGGUAGCCGGCCUGAGAGGGUGACCGGCCACCUUGGGCCUGCGAUACGCACCAGACUCCUACGGGAGGCAGUAGUGGGGAGUAUUGCACAAUGGGCGGACGCCUGAUGCAGUAACGCCGCGUGCGGGAUGCCGUCCUUCGGGUUGUAAACCGCUUUCGCCUGUGCCGAAGCGUGAGUGACGGUAAUGGGUCAAGAAGCACCGGCUAACUACGUG